rnacentral:rRNA from 1 species
GACGAACGCGUGGCGGCGUGCCUAACACAUGCAAGUCGAACGGAGAAUUGGGAGCUUGCUCCUGAUUCUUAGUGGCGGACGGGUGAGUAACGCGUGAGUAACCUGCCUUUCAGAGGGGGAUAACGUUCUGAAAAGAACGCUAAUACCGCAUGAGACUACAGAGUCACAUGGCUCAGUGGUCAAAGGAGCAAUCCGCUGGAAGAUGGACUCGCGUCCGAUUAGAUAGUAGGCGGGGUAACGGCCCACCUAGUCGACGAUCGGUAGCCGGACUGAGAGGUUGAACGGCCACAUUGGGACUGAGACACGGCCCAG